rnacentral:lncRNA from 1 species
UUAUUGUUGGAUCCCCAUUCCUCGGCCGAGGUCAUCUAUACCCAAACAUGAAAACCAAAUUUUGAACCAAUUACUAAAGGUGGAAAACCUUAUUAAUCUGGUAUAUCUCUCCUUGAAUAUUAAUUUUCUCAGGUGCUUACAUACACCUAGACAAUGUGGAAUACAAAAUAUGGCAGCAAGUCGGUUAUCUAGACCAAAUAAGUAUGGUUGAAAUUUGACAGUAUCAGAUAGAUAUCCAGUCAAAACAGGUUAUAAA